rnacentral:tRNA from 1 species
GGGAUGUGGCGGAAUGGUAGACGCGAGGGACUUAAAAUCCCUUGGUAGAAAUACCGUGUGGGUUCAACUCCCACCAUCCCC